CUUCACACACACAAAAAAAAUUUGUAUGGGGGCCUGGUGUGCAAUGGCUGCAAACAGCAGCAUCCUUGGUAGUGUACGCAACCUGUUGCUAGUAUGGGUUGCCAUAAGGGACCUUGGAUACAGCC